CAAAUACUCCCUCCGUCCGAAAAUACUUGUCAUCAAAAUGGAUAAAAAGGAUGUGUUUAGAACUAAAAUACGUCUAGAUACACCUUCUUUUGUCCGUUUUAAUGACAAGUAUUUUCGAACGGAGGGGGUAUUUA
rfam:Triticum aestivum genome assembly, contig: Triticum_aestivum_CS42_TGACv1_scaffold_049674_1BS